AUUGAACGCUGGCGGCAGGCUUAACACAUGCAAGUCGAGCGGUAACAGGGGUGCUUGCACCCGCUGACGAGCGGCGAACGGGUGAGUAACGCGUAGGAAUCUACCUAAUAGAGGGGGAUAGCCCGGGGAAACUCGGAUUAAUACCGCAUACGCCUACGGGGAAAGCAGGGGAUCUUCGGACCUUGCGCUAUUAGAUGAGCCUGCGUCGGAUUAGCUAGUUGGUGAGGUAAAGGCUCACCAAGGCGACGAUCCGUAGCUGGUCUGAGAGGAUGAUCAGCCACACUGGAACUGAGACACGGUCCAGACUCCUACGGGAGGCAGCAGUGGGGAAUAUUGGACAAUGGGGGCAACCCUGAUCCAGCCAUGCCGCGUGUGUGAAGAAGGCC
rnacentral:rRNA from 1 species